ensembl:lncRNA
ACCGAUCUUAGUCUUCUCUGAAGAAGUGUCUCCUAGAAAGUUGUAGCUAACUUUCUCGCCUUCCGGUAAAGAAAAAAUAAGACACUGGGGUUACCAGGGGAAGCCCGGAUGCGAGAGAAAAAUCCCGGCAAACCCGCUGUGUAUGAGAAGAGAAGAACGCCCUACAAAAUAAGGAAUAGGGCUGCAUUUAGAAUGCCAGACGAAGAUUGCCUAUUCAACCAUGGCAAACUUCUCAAAGCUCAGGAAAUGCGGAGGAAUCCUUGAUCAUGGAUGCAUCCUUAAAGGGGAAAUUUGGAUUGGUACUGUACAUCCAUUUCUGGGACGGUGACCCCUUUGUUGUUCUUUCUAAUCCCGGAUUGUCCCAUUAUUGUCUGUGGACCUCCCGCAGAGUUCUAUACAACAUAAAUACUGUUCUUCCAGGCUUCUGACACAGAAAACUUCGCUGAAAGAAGAGAGAGAAAGAGUCUUCCCCACCAUGAAACCAGGUUGUGUAGAGAUGGAGAAUGUAUGAUUCCAAAGCUGUCACCUGCACUUCCCAGGGGAAGCAAUUUGGGUCAACAUAACACUUCCCCUUCUUAAAAAAGGGUUAUGAAAAGGGGUCAUUUGUAAGUCCGUAUGUAAGUCAAGAAAUAACAGUUAUGUUGAAACAAAUAGUGUACGACUGCAACAUUCACCCAGCAAGUGCAGCUUUUACUAAGGUAUUCCUCAUUAUGACAUCAAGUUCUUUCAAUAUCUAACUUUGUGACCUUCUUUUAUUGCAUGUAUAAAUGAGAACUACUUGAUGAUGCACAACAUUUGUGAAGUUGUAUGUCUCAGCCUUCAGUGGGUUAACUUUAUUUUCACCGACUGGAUAACCGUUCACUGAUUGAAUGCUCUUAUUGAAUGCUUACG